rnacentral:lncRNA from 1 species
GCAUUUUCGCAGACAAAGGUCUCAUAAAACAUGGCAAACUCUGGAGCGUUGUCGUUUACAUCCAAAACCUUAAUGAACACUGGGACACGGCUGCUUUGUUUUGGGUUGUUGAUCUCUGCUGCUAUUACUGUAAUGUUGUGCCAUAGCAAUGUUUCCCGGUCAAGAGUUUUUGACGUAAAUAUCGAACCAUUUCCUGAGUUGAUGUUGAAUACUCUGUCCAUAUCAGUGUGUCGAUCUACAGAAUACUUGACAGGGUUCUUGGCAGCAUCUGGAUCCUGUGCUGUUACUGUUCCUAUUACACUGUUUAUUGGAACAUCUUCUUUCACUUCAAUUAUAUAUGCUGGUCUGCUGAACACAGGGGGUUCAUCUACAUCUUCCACUUGAAUUCUGAUUGUGGCUGAAUCCUUGAAUGGCCCCAAGUAGAGGAAUCGAGGGUCCACGUGAGUAUUGGUGGCUUCCACCUUCAGAAUAUACAAGUUUUUAUUUUCAAAAUCCAGUGCCUUUUUGACAGUUAUAAUUCCUUCCUGUGUGUCCUUGUCUGUGGUAAUUCCAAACAUGUCAUAUCCAUCCCCCUCAGUGAUGCUGUAUUCAAUCUCUGCAUUUUCAUCCACAUCUGCAUCAUUAGCUUUAAUCCUGCCAAUUGGUGAGUCAGGUGGCGUAGACUCAGGAGCUCUGAAUUGGUAGGUGCUCUGGGGGAACCGAGGAGGAUUGUCAUUUACGUCGGUCAGUGUGAUGUUCACAGUGGUGGUUCCUGAUAAUCCGCCCAUCUGGC